GGACGAACGCUGGCGGCGUGCUUAACACAUGCAAGUCGAACGGAAAGGCCCUGCUUUUGUGGGGUGCUCGCGUGGCUAACGGGUGAGUAACACGUGAGUAACCUGCCCUUGACUUUGGGAUAACUUCAGGAAACUUGGGCUAAUACCGGAUAGGAUCUCCUGCUGCAUGGUGGGGGUUGGUACGUUUCGGCGGUUGGGUAUGGACUCGCGGCUUAUCAGCUUGUUGGUGGGGUAGUGGCUUACCAAGUCUUUGACGGGUAGCCGGCCUGAGAGGGUGACCGGCCACAUUGGGACUGAGAUACGGCCCAGACUCCUACGGGAGGCAGAAGUGGGGAAUAUUGCACAAUGGGCGGAAGCCUGAUGCAGCAACGCAGCGUGCGGGAUGAAGGCCUUCGGGUUGUAAACCGCUUUCGCCUGUGACGAAGCGUGAGUGACGGUAAUGGGUAAAGAAGCACCGGCUAACUACGUG
rnacentral:rRNA from 1 species